UUUCCGUAGGUGAACCUGCGGAAGGAUCAUUACAGAGUUCAUGCCUUCACGGGUAGAUCUACCACCCUUGAAUAUUUAUACCUUAGUUGCUUUGGCAGGUCGUGGAAACACAAUGGGCUCCGGCCUAUGCGUGCCUGCCAGUGGAAACAAACUUUUUAUUUAGUGACGUCUGAGUACAAAAUAAUAGAUAAAACUUUCAACAACGGACCUCUUGAUUCUGACAUCGAUGAAGAAGGCAACAAAACGGAAGAGCACACGUCACAACUCCAGUCCCCAUUU
rnacentral:misc_RNA from 1 species